GACGAACGCUGGCGGCGUGCUUAACACAUGCAAGUCGAACGGAAAGGCCCUGCUUUUGUGGGGUGCUCGAGUGGCGAACGGGUGAGUAACACGUGAGUAACCUGCCCUUGACUUUGGGAUAACUUCAGGAAACUGGGGCUAAUACCGGAUAGGAGCUCCUGCUGCAUGGUGGGGGUUGGAAAGUUUCGGCGGUUGGGGAUGGACCCGCGGCUUAUCAGCUUGUUGGUGGGGUAGUGGCUUACCAAGGCUUUGACGGGUAGCCGGCCUGAGAGGGUGACCGGCCACAUUGGGACUGAGAUACGGCCCAGACUCCUACGGGAGGCAGCAGUGGGGAAUAUUGCACAAUGGGCGGAAGCCUGAUGCAGCAACGCCGCGUGCGGGAUGACGGCCUUCGGGUUGUAAACCGCUUUCGCCUGUGACGAAGCGUGAGUGACGGUAAUGGGUAAAGAAGCACCGGCUAACUACGUGCCAGCAGCCGCGGUGAUACGUAGGGUGCGAGCGUUGUCCGGAUUUAUUGGGCGUAAAGGGCUCGUAGGUGGUUGAUCGCGUCGGAAGUGUAAUCUUGGGGCUUAACCCUGAGCGUGCUUUCGAUACGGGUUGACUUGAGGAAGGUAGGGGAGAAUGGAAUUCCUGGUGGAGCGGUGGAAUGCGCAGAUAUCAGGAGGAACACCAGUGGCGAAGGCGGUUCUCUGGGCCUUUCCUGACGCUGAGGAGCGAAAGCGUGGGGAGCGAACAGGCUUAGAUACCCUGGUAGUCCACGCUGUAAACGGUGGGUACUAGGUGUGGGGUCCAUUCCACGGGUUCCGUGCCGUAGCUAACGCUUUAAGUACCCCGCCUGGGGAGUACGGCCGCAAGGCUAAAACUCAAAGGAAUUGACGGGGCCCCGCACAAGCGGCGGAGCAUGCGGAUUAAUUCGAUGCAACGCGUAGAACCUUACCUGGGUUUGACAUGGAUCGGGAGCGCUCAGAGAUGGGUGUGCCUCUUUUGGGGUCGGUUCACAGGUGGUGCAUGGCUGUCGUCAGCUCGUGUCGUGAGAUGUUGGGUUAAGUCCCGCAACGAGCGCAACCCUUGUUCACUGUUGCCAGCACGUUAUGGUGGGGACUCAGUGGAGACCGCCGGGGUCAACUCGGAGGAAGGUGGGGAUGACGUCAAGUCAUCAUGCCCCUUAUGUCCAGGGCUUCACGCAUGCUACAAUGGCUGGUACAGAGAGUGGCGAGCCUGUGAGGGUGAGCGAAUCUCGGAAAGCCGGUCUCAGUUCGGAUUGGGGUCUGCAACUCGACCUCAUGAAGUCGGAGUCGCUAGUAAUCGCAGAUCAGCAACGCUGCGGUGAAUACGUUCCCGGG
rnacentral:rRNA from 1 species